AAAACGAGCUCACGUCAGGCGAGUUCAGGUCAGGCGAACGAGCUCAGGUCAGGCGAACAAGCUCAGGUCAGGCGAGCUCAGGUCAGGCGAACGAGCUCAGGUCAGGCAAACGAGCUCACAUCAGGCGAGCUCAGGUCAGGCGAACGAGCUCAGGUCAGGAGAACAAGCUCAGGUCAGGCGAACGAGGUCAGGUCAGGCGAGCUCAGGUCAGACGAAUAAGCUCAGAUCAGGCGAGCUCAGGUCUGGAGAACGAGCUCAGGUCAGGCGAACUCGGGUCAGGCGAACUCGGUCACGUCAGGCAAACAAGGUCACGUCAGGUGAGCUCAGGUCAGGCGAACGAGCUCACGUCAGGCAAGCUCAGGUCUGGUGAACGAGCUCACGUCAGGCGAACUCAGGUCACGCGAAUGAGCUCAGGUCAGGUGAGCUCAGGUCAGGUGAACGAGCUCAGGUCAGGCGAGCUCAGGUCAGGCGAGCUCAGGUCUGGGGAACGAGCUCACGUCAGGCGAACUCAGGUCAGGCGAACGAGCUCAGGUCAGGCAAACGAGCUCAGGUCAGGCGAACUCAGGUCAGGCGAAUGAGCUCAGGUCAGGCGAACUCAGGUCAGGCGAAUGAGCUCAGGUCAGGUGAACGAGGUC